GAUGAACGCUGGCGGCGUGCCUAAUACAUGCAAGUCGAGCGAACGGACGAGAAGCUUGCUUCUCUGAUGUUAGCGGCGGACGGGUGAGUAACACGUGGAUAACCUCCCUAUAAGACUGGGAUAACUUCGGGAAACCGGAGCUAAUACCGGAUAAUAUUUUGAACCGCAUGGUUCAAAAGUGAAAGACGGUCUUGCUGUCACUUAUAGAUGGAUCCGCGCUGCAUUAGCUAGUUGGUAAGGUAACGGCUUACCAAGGCAACGAUGCAUAGCCGACCUGAGAGGGUGAUCGGCCACACUGGAACUGAGACACGGUCCAGACUCCUACGGGAGGCAGCAGUAGGGAAUCUUCCGCAAUUGGCGAAAGCCUGACGGAGCAACGCCGCGUGAGUGAUGAAGGUCUUCGGAUCGUAAAACUCUGUUAUUAGGGAAGAACAUAUGUGUAAGUAACUGUGCACAUCUUGACGGUACCUAAUCAGAAAGCCACGGCUAACUACGUG
rnacentral:rRNA from 1 species